rnacentral:rRNA from 1 species
UACGGGGGGGGUAAGCGUUGUUCGGAAUUACUGGGCGUAAAGGGCUCGUAGGCGGCCAACUAAGUCGGACGUGAAAUCCCUCAGCUUAACUGGGGAACUGCGUCCGAUACUGGAUGGCUUGGAUUUGGGAGAGGGAUGCGGAAUUCCAGGUGUAGCGGUGAAAUGCGUAGAUAUCAGGAGGAACACCGGUGGCGAAGGCGGGUCUCUGGGCCGAUACUGACGCUGAGGCACGAAAGCGUGGGGAGCGAACAGG